GCAGGGGCAGAUUCCACUGUGUUCCACCCGACACGGGAUAGGGAGCACAGCAAUAUUUCAGAUGUACCAGUCUCCUGUCCAAGAAUCCCCAAACACAGGGCAUCGACUGCCCAGCAAAAUAGAAUGAACCCCUUAUUCUCCCCUCUGGAGGCUAAGUUAAGAAAAGUGAAGAACUUCGUUUGGUUAUUCAGUCAGUUCAAUGAAGCCUAGAGUGAAGAAACUAAACAUAUAUAUAUAUAUAUAGCUUCUGUUAGUCCUCAGUAUUAAAAG
rnacentral:lncRNA from 1 species